GUCACGUCCCGUGCCAGAUUUGGAUGAAGAGUGGCCCAAACAGAAGGACACAGCUUCAGUCAGACUCACUUUACAAGGCUGUCAGAGACGCAAGCGUCAGCUGCGAGAAACGAGCACAUGGAGCUGGAGAAAUUUUGUGGGCUUGAUGAACAUCUUCACCGGUGAGCGGCCGAAUCCACCUUGACCCACAGCCCACCCCAGCACAGUGCCGGGCCCCUCAGAGCACUGAAAACCUGCGGGAUUUGCCAUUUGGAAGUACUGACCUGCAACUUACCCAUUCCCGAUCUGUUCGGACAAGAGAUUCAGGAGUGAAGCUGCUCCGCUUUGGGCCAGGUGCCAGUUGCAAAAGGCGAGUGAAAAUAUCAGUGAUCUGCAUGAGGAAACAUUGGGAGUGAGCGGAAAACACAAACUCACAAACAUCCGUGCAACUAUCGCAGAAAAAAGUGAAGGUUGCGAGGGUAAGGGAAGACACAGAAAAAGUGGAUCAUGAAAGAAGAGGUGGGGGGUGUUUAUUCAAGCCUGCUUGAUGCUCCUCGGGCCUUCAAGAGCUGAUAGCAUGUGCCGUGGUAACUGUGGGACUAUUUGCAUGCGGCAGACACGCUAAUUGUGUGUUUGCUAACACGCACCAUUCAGCAACAAGCACUCCGGUCCACAGACGGGGUUCACACACGCCUCCCAGACGCCCCGGAGGCCUCCUAUUGUUCCAGAGGCCCAGCCAAGCAGCCGGUGUGCCUAACCAGAGCCCUGCGCUGGCCUGCCGAGAGGGGAAACUGGAAUUCGAGACCAGACGGGAUAGCGGGAUAGUGGACAGGCUCACAGCCCCUCUCUCUCUUUCUCUCCGCAGCAGGAAAAAAGAGGCCUGUGGAAAGCACUGCCUCCGGGCGCUGACGUCCUCGCAGAUGUGUGCACAAGAGAAGUUGCAAGAUGCUGCCCUGCACAGGAUCACUAUAAUCACAUGA
ensembl:lncRNA